rnacentral:tRNA from 57 species
GACUUAAAAUCCGUCGACUUUUAAAAUCGUGAGGGUUCAAGUCCCUCUAUCCCC